UACGGAGGGGGCUAGCGUUGUUCGGAAUUUCUGGGCGUAAAGCGCACGUAGGCGGCUUUGUAAGUUAGAGGUGAAAGCCCGGGGCUCAACUCCGGAAUUGCCUUUAAGACUGCAUCGCUAGAAUUGUGGAGAGGUAAGUGGAAUUCCGAGUGUAGAGGUGAAAUUCGUAGAUAUUCGGAAGAACACCAGUGGCGAAGGCGACUUACUGGACACAUAUUGACGCUGAGGUGCGAAAGCGUGGGGAGCAAACAGG
rnacentral:rRNA from 1 species